rnacentral:rRNA from 1 species
CUAUCACUCCUACGGGAGGCAGCAUGGGGGAAUAUUGCACAAUGGGGGAAACCCUGAUGCAGCCAUGCCGCGUGUGUGAAGAAGGCCUUCGGGUUGUAAAGCACUUUCAGUAGGGAGGAAGGUAGUGUAGUUAACACCUGCAUUAUUUGACGUUACCUACAGAAGAAGCACCGGCUAACUCCGUGCCAGCAGCCGCGGUAAUACGGAGGGUGCGAGCGUUAAUCGGAAUUACUGGGCGUAAAGCGCAUGCAGGCGGCCUGUUAAGUCAGAUGUGAAAGCCCGGGGCUUAACCUCGGAAUUGCAUUUGAAACUGGCAGGCUAGAGUCUUGUAGAGGGGGUAGAAUUUCAGGUGUAGCGGUGAAAAUGCGUAGAGAUCUGAAGGAAUACCAGUGGCGAAGGCGGCCCCCUGGACAAAGACUGACGCUCAGAUGCGAAAGCGUGGGGAGCAAACAGGAUUAGAUACCCUGGUAG